rnacentral:tRNA from 1 species
GCGAAGGUGGUGAAACUGGUAGACACGCUAGGUUGAGGGCCUAGUGGCCGAUAAGGCCGUGGGGGUUCGACUCCCCCUCUUCGCACCA